rnacentral:rRNA from 1 species
GUGGGGAAUAUUGGGCAAUGGGCGCAAGCCUGACCCAGCAACGCCGCGUGAAGGAAGAAGGCUUUCGGGUUGUAAACUUCUUUUGUCAGGGACGAAGCAAGUGACGGUACCUGACGAAUAAGCCACGGCUAACUACGUGCCAGCAGCCGCGGUAAUACGUAGGUGGCAAGCGUUAUCCGGAUUUACUGGGUGUAAAGGGCGUGUAGGCGGGACUGCAAGUCAGAUGUGAAAACCACGGGCUCAACCUGUGGCCUGCAUUUGAAACUGUAGUUCUUGAGUACUGGAGAGGCAGACGGAAUUCCUAGUGUAGCGGUGAAAUGCGUAGAUAUUAGGAGGAACACCAGUGGCGAAGGCGGUCUGCUGGACAGCAACUGACGCUGAGGCGCGAAAGCGUGGGGAGCAAACAGGAUUAGAAACCCCAGUAGUCC